AAAGUAGCCCACCCAGGAUGGUUCAUUGAAUUAGUUGUUUUGCCUUACAUCUAACAAAAACAUUUCAUAUAGCCAAAGGCAUAACAAUAUCAUAAUGUAGAUAUUUCCCCCACGAUACUACCAUAGCUUAGCAUUCAACUACAAUCGAUGGCAAUUUGGUAGCAAUGUAAUGACGAGGGUAAACUAUACUACCUGGGAUUUAUAGCUAGCAUAGAGGUACGAGUAAUAGUCCUAUCAAUGCAUCUCUACCAACAACACUAAUGCAUAAGUAUUUUAAAACCACAAUAAUAAUGGGAUAUGAUCAAAGUGAACUUGCCUUGUCCAAGGUUGUGAUAGUUCUCGCACUCUUCGCAACAACAAGGAAUACACUCCACACAAUCUAAAAAUAAAAGAAACAUGCACACAAUAAACACAACAUCCAAUGCAAAAAAUCAUGCCAUGAUGCAUAUGCUAUGAUGACGCACACAAAGGUUACUUCUAAAGUACAAAGUUUCAUUUCUGUUUUGAAAAGUUUUUCAAAAGAUUUGGAUAGAUUAUACAACAUCAAGUGGUAAUUAAUAUGCAUGAUACAUGGAUAGGGUUUAAAACAAAAGAUUGUGCGGCUUUUGCAACAUAGAGCAAUAUUUAACUUGCAUGCCAUGAUUGUACACAAAAUAAUUUCUUUUCUGGUCCUAAUGGACAGAGAACAAGUUUAAAUAAUUUUACGGCAAGAUAACAUGUUCAAAACUAUUUUGAAACAAUUCAUUCAAAAUUUAAACCAUAAUCAACCAUUCUGUAAAUAGCUACUGUCUAAGUUGUUCAAAACUGAAAUUAGACAGUGCCAAAAUAUUCUACAAGUUGUGACGAUUCCAGAAAGGUGCGGAACACAAUUUUUGGACAAACGGUUUGAAAGAUAUGAUGCUUUGAAGUUAUAGGGCCUUUUCUGUAAAAAAGCAUUAUCUACUACGGCCGAAAAUAAAAUAAAAUAAAAUAAAAAGGGCACUGCCACGUGGCAUGGCGGGAUUGGCCCG
rnacentral:lncRNA from 1 species